rnacentral:rRNA from 1 species
CCGGCACGGGUGAGUAAUGUCUGGGAAACUGCCCGAUGGAGGGGGAUAACUACUGGAAACGGUAGCUAAUACCGCAUAACGUCGCAAGACCAAAGAGGGGGACCUUGGGCCUCUUGCCAUCGGAUGUGCCCAGAUGGGAUUAGCUAGUAGGUGGGGUAAAGGCUCACCUAGGCGACGAUCCCUAGCUGGUCUGAGAGGAUGACCAGCCACACUGGAACUGAGACACGGUCCAG